AACGCUAAUCGGCGCAGGGUUAGCCGGCCCCUAAGGCGAGGCCGAAAGGCGUAGUCGAUGGGAAUGCAGUUAAUAUUCUGCAGCUUGGUGGUAGUGACGGAUGCCGUGUGUUGUAUCUCCUUAUUGGAUUGGGGGUGCAGCGAAGGUGUUCCAGGAAAUAGCUCCACCGUAUAAACCGUACCCGAAACCGACACAGGUGGGCAGGUAGAGUAUACCAAGGCGCUUGAGAGAACUAUGUUGAAGGAACUCGGCAAAUUGCACGCGUAACUUC
rnacentral:rRNA from 1 species